AACUAGGAUAAGAUACCCUAUUAUUUUAGGCGUAAAUACAAGUGUUUGAUUAGUAUUAGUUAUGUUCUUGAAAAUUAAAGAUUUCGGCGGUAUUUUAGUCCAUUCAGAGGAACCUGUCCUGUAAAUGAUGCCCCACGAGCUGUGAAAUCUUACUUAGAAGUUUGUAUAUCGUCGUGGUAUGAGAAUUCUAUAAGGAGUUCAAUUCUCGAGAUUUAAUUUAUGAAGGAUAUCAGAUCAAGGUGCAGCUUUAUAUAAGGAGGAGGAUGGGUUACAAUAAGGUUUACUUAAACGAACUAAUUAGUUUAAUUAGAGUAUUUAGUG
rnacentral:rRNA from 1 species